rnacentral:rRNA from 1 species
UACGGAGGGUGCAAGCGUUAAUCGGAAUUACUGGGCGUAAAGCGCACGCAGGCGGUGAUACAAGUCAGAUGUGAAAGCCCCGGGCUUAACCUGGGAAUUGCAUUUGAAACUGUAUCGCUAGAGUGUGGGAGAGGAAAGCGGAAUUCCGGGUGUAGCGGUGAAAUGCGUAGAUAUCCGGAAGAACAUCGAUGGCGAAGGCAGCUUUCUGGACCAACACUGACGCUCAGGUGCGAAAGCGUGGGGAGCAAACAGG